rnacentral:rRNA from 1 species
AUUGAACGUUGGCGGCAGGCUUAACACAUGCAAGUCGAGCGGAGUGAUGGUGCUUGCACUAUCACUUAGCGGCGGACGGGUGAGUAAUGCUUAGGAAUCUGCCUAUUAGUGGGGGAUAACAUCUCGAAAGGGAUGCUAAUACCGCAUACGUCCUACGGGAGAAAGCAGGGGAUCACUUGUGACCUUGCGCUAAUAGAUGAGCCUAAGUCGGAUUCGCUAGUUGGUGGGGUAAAGGCCUACCAAGGCGACGAUCUGUAGCGGGUCUGAGAGGAAGAUCCGCCACACUGGGACUGAGACACGUCCCAGACUACUACGGGAGGCAGCAGUGGGGAAUAUUGGACAAUGGGGGGAAACCUGAUCCAGCCAUGCCGCGUAUGUGAAGAAGGCCUUAUGGUUGUAAAGCACUUUAAGCGAGGAGGAGGCUCUUUUGGUUAAUACCCAAGAUGAGUGGACGUUACUCGCAGAAUAAGCACCGGCUAACUCUGUGCCAGCCGCCGCGGUAA